rnacentral:rRNA from 1 species
UGGGGAAUUUUGGACAAUGGGCCCAAGCCUGAUCCAGCAAUGCCGCGUGCAGGAUGAAGGCCUUCGGGUUGUAAACUGCUUUUGUACGGGAAGAAACACUCCUUCGUGAAGGAGCUUGACGGUACCGUAAGAAUAAGGAUCGGCUAACUCCGUGCCAGCAGCCGCGGUAAUACGUAGGGUGCGAGCGUUAAUCGGAAUUACUGGGCGUAAAGCGUGCGCAGGCGGUUAUAUAAGACAGAUGUGAAAUCCCCGGGCUCAACCUGGGACCUGCAUUUGUGACUGUGUAGCUAGAGUACGGUAGAGGGGGAUGGAAUUCCGCGUGUAGCAGUGAAAUGCGUAGAUAUGCGGAGGAACACCGAUGGCGAAGGCAAUCCCCUGGACCUGUACUGACGCUCAUGCACGAAAGCGUGGGGAGCAAACA